AAGUCGUAACAAGGUUUCCGUAGGUGAACCUGCGGAAGGAUCAUUACCUAGAGUUGUAGGCUUUGCCUGCUAUCUCUUACCCAUGUCUUUUGAGUACUUACGUUUCCUCGGCGGGUCCGCCCGCCGAUUGGACAAAUUUAAACCAUUUGCAGUUGCAAUCAGCGUCUGAAAAACUUUAAUAGUUACAACUUUCAACAACGGAUCUCUUGGUUCUG
rnacentral:misc_RNA from 1 species